CCCUUAGAUGUCCGGGGCCGCACGCGCGCUACACUGAAGGAAUCAGCGUGGCUUUCUCCCUGACCCGAAAGGGUUGGGAAACCCGUUGAAUCUCCUUCGUGAUAGGGAUUGGGGCUUGAAAUUGUUCCCCAUGAACGAGGAAUUCCCAGUAAGCACAAGUCAUCAGCUUGUGUUGAUUACGUCCCUGCCCUUUGUACACACCGCCCGUCGCUCCUACCGAUUGAAUGUUCCGGUGAGCUCUUCGGACUGCGCGGUCUGCAGUUUCUGCGUUCCGUGCGGAAAGUUGCGCAAACCUUAACAUUUAGAGGAAGGAGAAGUCGUAACA
rnacentral:rRNA from 1 species